GGAGGGAGCGAGCGUUGUUCGGAAUCACUGGGCGUAAAGGGCGCGUAGGCGGCCGAGUAAGUCGUGUGUGAAAGACCGGGGCUCAACUCCGUGUACUGCAUGCGAUACUGCUCGGCUAGAGAAAGGUAGAGGCGAGUGGAAUUCCCGGUGUAGCGGUGGAAUGCGUAGAUAUCGGGAAGAACACCUGUGGCGAAGGCGGCUCGCUGGGCCUUUUCUGACGCUGAAGUGCGAAAGCGUGGGGAGCAAACAGGAUUAGAUACCCUGGUAGUCCACGCCGUAAACGAUGGGCACUAGGCGUUGGGAGGAUUGACCCUCUCAGUGCCGUAGCUAACGCGUUAAGUGCCCCCCGCCUGGGGAUACGGCCGCAAGGCUG
rnacentral:rRNA from 1 species